rnacentral:misc_RNA from 1 species
GAUGAAGAACGCAGCGAAAUGCGAUAAGUAAUGUGAAUUGCAGAAUUCAGUGAAUCAUCGAAUCUUUGAACGCAUCUUGCGCUCCUUGGUAUUCUGAGGAGCAUGCCUGUUUGAGUGUCAUUAAAUUCUCAACUACACUGACUUUGAAUUGGUGUGGCUUGGAUUUGGGGGGAAAAUUGUUGUGGGCUUUUUGUAUAGUCUGCUCCCCUGAAAUUGAUUAGCGGUACCUUUGUGGAACUGUCUACAGGUGUGAUAAUUAUCUACAUCUUAGACAUCUGCUGGAAUGCUGCUUUCUAACCCUUACUUGUAUUGACAAUCUUGACCUCAAAUCAGGUAGGACUACCCGCUGAACUUAAGCAUAUCAAUAAGCGGAGGA